rnacentral:rRNA from 1 species
GAUGAACGCUGGCGGCGUGCCUAAUACAUGCAAGUCGAGCGAACGGACGAGAAGCUUGCUUCUCUGAUGUUAGCGGCGGACGGGUGAGUAACACGUGGAUAACCUACCUAUAAGACUGGGAUAACUUCGGGAAACCGGAGCUAAUACCGGAUAAUAUUUUGAACCGCAUGGUUCAAAAGUGAAAGACGGUCUCGCUGUCACUUAUAGAUGGAUCCGCGCUGCAUUAGCUAGUUGGUAAGGUAACGGCUUACCAAGGCAACGAUGCAUAGCCGACCUGAGAGGGUGAUCGGCCACACUGGAACUGAGACACGGUCCAGACUCCUACGGGAGGCAGCAGUAGGGAAUCUUCCGCAAUGGGCGAAAGCCUGACGGAGCAACGCCGCGUGAGUGAUGAAGGUCUUCGGAUCGUAAAACUCUGUUAUUAGGGAAGAACAUAUGCGUAAGUAACUGUGCACAUCUUGACGGUACCUAAUCAGAAAGCCACGGCUAACUACGUG